rnacentral:rRNA from 1 species
GGGUUAGCAAGUUGGCCGUGCCAAUGGUAUGCACUGGCUUUGCUGAUUCCUCCUUCUUGUUGAACCGUAAUGCCAUUUAGUUGGUGUUGCGGGGAAACAGGACUGUUACUUUGAAAAAAUUAGAGUGUUUAAAGCAGGCUAACGCCUGAAUACAUUAGCAUGGAAUAAUGGAAUAGGACGCUUGAUUCUAUUUUGUUGGUUUCUAGAGUCGCCGUA